UUGUGGUUUCACCCUCCUGAAUGUCCUGAAGUGGUGGAAGGAAAAGUCCCCUCAGCAGACCCUUUCAUAGCUCCGUUGUUUUCUGGAGACCAGUCGUAGUGUGGCGUUACAGUCUUCAGUGUCCAAGGUCUGACUGCUCAGCACGUUCCAGUCAGAAGGCCUUUCUUAACGUUGUGGGUAUUCGAAAACUGUCAGGCAGAUCUGCCACAUGUCUGGCUGGUACUCCAUGCUGACAGAAGUCCUUGCAUGCAACGCUUGCAGAAAGGUUGCAAAGGAAUCACAGAGCCGUGUUCCCUGUUGUCUUGAUGUUACGGUUAUCCGCCUGACGAGGCAUUGCACCGAGGCCAAGGUGUGGAGGCAGGUCCUGGAGAACCACUGCGAGGAGUAGCUGCAAAGAAAGGACUUGUACACCAUCCUCCUCAGCCAGUACGAAAAACCUGGGAAGAUCACACGGAAUUUUUGCCAACUAUUCCAGUGACCACUAGCGAGGAGAGGGCUGCCGUGUCCAAAGCUGUUGAGAAAGGCCUUUCUCAUUGCAGAAACAGUUAACAUAGAGGACGACCGCACACAGAUUAUGUCUACUUUUGGCAAAGUCCUAAAGUACAACUCCACCAAAAGCAGUACAUGGAUCGCGGCUGCUGUUGUAUCCACGACGUGUCUUCUGGGGAGCAGCUCUUGAGGGAGUGGACUGACAGGGGUAUGCUGGUAUGGCUCGACAUCUUUCAUUGGAUCCAUCGAUUUGAUGCAGCCCUACGGAUGGAUUACCAUCCAAAGUAUGCCCUGUUUAAGUCUGCCCUUUCCGCUGCAGUCUUUGUCUACAACAAGGGCGAUGUGGCUCUCCUGGUACAGGCGAUACGUGCCAGUUACCCAACAGCCAGAUCAUCGAACUGCAAGUCAGACCUCCGCCGUCAUGUAAGGAGGAUAAAGGUGGGUGCCAAGGAAACCUGUGCAGGUGUUCAGAGUGCCAUUGAUAUCUUGAAGGGAGCAGCUGGGAUGGAUGAACCAGGUGCAUCUGUUCAAGGACGCUGCAGCCAUCGACCACAUCUGGGAGAACCAACAGAAGCACCUCAAAUGCAUCCAGUAUCUGCCGGUGAGAAACAUGUACACCAUCACAUCCGUAACGGUGUGCGUCUUCCACAAUACAGCACAGUGAGAGGGAGCAACAGCCUGGAAGACCAAAAAGUCAUUUCGAGUGGGUGAGGAUGAAGAUGAUGAGGUCUCUGUUGCCGCAGCAGAGGAGGAAGAGGAGGAGGAGGAGGAGGACGUGGGAUAUAACUCCAACAGUGAGGGUGAUCGUCUGACUCCUCUGAGAAACAGUCUGUGCCUCACUGACCAGGUAGCGGCUGCAGAGUUCGAUCCCUGUGUGGAGGAUGUGUGCGGUCCCAAUCAUCUCCCUGGAUACCAACACGUAGAGGAUCUGUGCAAAGUCCUUGUAGAAAUUGCCUUUGAGGAGGAAAAGCUUGCGAUGAGUUGUUCCAGUCAUCAGUGCCUGGAACAACCUUAACCUCCACGAUCGCAGCAUCCAGCAGUUCGACAGCCUUUAAUCGGCGCACUGGGGCAAUACUCUGUUCGGUCGAACAAGUGGAGAUCCGUCUGAGGCAUCUUCGGUGCAAAAGCUGAAGUUCAGCAAGCGUUACUCGGGCACCCACUUGGUUGACUCCAGAAAUAACAGUCUGAUGUACUGCCUUAUUAAACAGCUGUGGCUUCAUCCUGGUUCAGCGUGUGCAGCAGAGAGUGACUGUGGGUGACGCUGCACUCAGCAAGCUCGGCAUUCCGAUACUAAAAAUUAAUUCAAAGUGUGUUAGUGAGUUCAUCAGGAGGCAGGAGGUCUUGUCAGCCACAAAUGUGACAGAUCAAGGUUUGGCUGUGCUCCGUCGUCAUCGGAGUGUUUCUAGCACCAGCCAGCCUCCAGCGAUUGAGCUUCCUGACGAAAGACCACACACCAGCCGACCUACAGUGCAGUAUCAGGCCACUGAAUCUUUGGCAGGGACCAGAAAGCUUAAACCGAGACUCCCACAUCUCUUCUCUCUGGCUCCCGCUCCUCCCCCUCAGAUGUUACCUGCACCAGUCCAGACCAUGUGCACGUCCACGCCAACUCAGCUGAUGGGUGCACCCCUAACAGGACCUCCUGCAGUUUCCCUGCCGCAGGCAUCCAUCCCGUCACCGUCGGCAUCAAGAUCGACUUUCUACAAAAGAAAGCAGAGCGCAGUGGCAUGGAACAUCCAGAUACAGUAAAAGUAUACGUCUGUGCAAUGUGCGGCCAACUCACUCAAGGCCACAAAAAGUACCGAAAAAAGAGCUACUGCGAAAGUUCUAAAUCGUCCAAAGACCUUGCUGGACAAACUUUUAAGAAUUUUGCAGACUUUAAAAAAGCAGUUGACGUUCUCUUGGGCUCUCAAUCUCAGGCCUCGUGAGUUUGUCUAAACAGACAUCACCAAGUGUUAUUGUUCUACAUACCACUUGACUUUUAUCACUGUUAUUAAUAAAUGUUACACAACAGUUGAUUGUUCUACAGUUUAUGUUAUGGUUGUGACCGUUUUAUAGUUUAUUGCCAUUUAAUAAUGGUUUACAGUUCUUCACUGGUUUGCAAUACUGAUGUCUUUUUAACUUGAGUGACUGACCUGGAAUACUUGACCUGGCAUAAUGCCUAUUAUAAAUAUAUCACUAUUCCUGUUACUGUUGCUAGCAACGAUAUUAAUAUAACUUCCGAUAAUAAUACAGAGAUAUUCAUUACAAACACUACACAUAUCUAAUGUGUAACUUUGAGCAGGUCAAACAACACGUUCAAAAGUAAUUUUUUUCCUUUGCACUUUUAACAAAGUUAGUUCAGAUAAUUGAGAACAGUCUGUUUGUUUUUCUA